rnacentral:misc_RNA from 1 species
CAGCGCUUCCACUUAUUUCUCAACUACAACAGAGAAUCCCGCAACAGAGGCCUUAUUUUAUUGCAUUAACAGUCAUCUUUUCAUUGUUCCUAUUAAUAGAUCUGAUUACAUCAGGCGGCGGUUGGACUUCAUACAUUUUUCACAGUGCUGCAGCAAUAUCAAGUGCAAUGUUAAACAUUCUAUGGGACCUGUCAGCUAUGGUGGUCAAUGUUUUGAUUGCUCUGUUGAAGUUCCCAUUUCAUUUCGUGGCCAAUCUCCCCAGUUACUGUGAUUCUGUGUCCAAUUUUUUUCAUCAUUUAUUUUGGUUUGUAAUCUAUGCCGUCAUAGUUAUACUUGUUGUUUGGUAUUGUGUUCACACUGUAUUGAUAACAAUUGAACGCAGAGAGUGGAAAUUGAAAAGGAAAAUGAAAAAGAAACAGUAAUUUCUUACAUGAAUCCCCUGAACAUGGUUUUCUAACUAUGAUUAAGAAAUUAUUGUUACCAGAUUUUUCAAUGCAUAAUAUGUAGCUCAUAUUCCGGUGAUGUGUUCUUUAAUUUUAUACUGUCUAACUUGGUUUCUAGAUAAUCAUUCAAUGUCUCAGAUCUCAAACCCUUACAAUAUUUAAAAUAUAAUAUAAUCCUCCACUUAUUUUUAAAUGAGAAGAAAUUAUAUAUGUAUCAGUUAGAAUAACCACAGGCAAACAAUUUAAAAAAAAAAUCUUUUUUAUAGCAAGAUACGGUAAUUACCUGUACUAUGCUAGUCAUUACAUGUAUUAUUGAACAGAAAGUUUUAUCUCUUUGAUACAUAUACAUUGUGUAAUAUGUGUUUGGAAAUUCCCUACUGUGAGAAUACUUUACUCAGAAUGCUUUAAGGAGAGGGCUCAAAUAGGCAGAUUGCCUGCUGCCCAAUCCUAUUUAUAUGUAAUAUUUUUUUUACAUAAUAAAAUAUUGUUUAAAUAAAUAAAUGCUUUACUAAUAUGUAUAGAUAAGUAACAUUUGUAUUAGAGUAUAUCAAACACAGAAACAGUAAGACAGUAUGGUUUUACUGCACUUUGUAUCAAGGAAUGUGUAGCUUACAAUAUAUGAGGUUUAUUUAUUUGUAAAGUCCGCUGGCAACCUUGAUAAAAACUGACUAACAUGAAUAAAAUGUAUAAAACUA